rnacentral:lncRNA from 1 species
GUUGCUAUCCCACCCUUUUUUUCCUAGCAAAAAUAUUUUGAUUUAUUAUGCAGAAAAAAAUAGAGGCUGGGAUAAUAGACAUUUCUUGGUUUAAGGAGGUGACCAAAAAUAACAAUGUCAGUGUGGAGCAGACAUGUAGUUGUUUUAUUUUUAUUUGUGACAUCUUUAUCUUUCAGAAUCAAGAAAGCUGCCCACGUUGUCGUGCCUCAUUGGUGAGGGAAGAGAUGACUAAACCUGUGGAACAGAUUCCUUCUGAAAUAGUUUUAAGAAAUGUGCUACGAGCCUUGGAUGAAACACCCUGUCAUCGCUGCUUGGAUCUGGUUGCUCUGCGCAAGCUCUAUUAACCACCUUCUUCAAUACCUCCUUAAAUUAUUUUUCUCAUCAAAUGAGGUGGUGCUACUGGAAGGUGGUGAGACCUUAGGAGGUGGGGCCUAGGGCGAGGUCCUUCCAUCAUGGGGUUGUGUCUUGAAGGGAACUUUGGGAUCACAAUCUCUUCUUUUUUCUCUCUGCUGCCUGGCACCUUAAGGUAAGAGUUUGCUUCUCCACAUGUUCCUUGCCAUUGCCAUCUGGCAUUCCCACUAGAGGCCUACAAGUGACAUAGCCAACUGACCAUGGACUGAAAUCUCCAAAACCAUGAGCUGAAUAAUCCUUUGCUUUAUUAUAUUACAGGAAUUUUGCUAUAGUAACCCACGCUGACUAACACAAAUAUGUACGCUGGUGUCCAGGGCAAGGAUGUGCAGUAGGC